rnacentral:rRNA from 1 species
GCAACUUGGAGAAGUGAAAAGUCUAUAUAACAAUUAUAAUAUCGGUAGUAUCAUCUGAUGCUUCGGUAAUUUAGUAAGGUUGUAUUAAUAUUGAAUGAAGCUUUGUUUAUAUAUUGAUAAUGACAGUAUAUAUAUCGUGUCUUGACUAAUUGCGUGCCAGCAGUCGCGGUAAUACGUAAGAGACUAGUGUUAUUCAUCUUAAUUAGGUUUAAAGGGUACCCAAACGGUCAAAAUAGCUUCUAGAAUGUAACUAUUUGACUAGAGUUUUAUAUAAGAGAGCAGUACUUGAGGAGGAGAGAUGAAAUUUUGUGAUACCAAAGGGACUCUGUAAAUGCGAAGGCAGCACUCUAGGUAAAAACUGACGUUGAAGGACGAAGGCACAGAGAACAAACAGGAUUAGAUACCCAAGUAGUCUUUGCAGUAAAUGAUGAAUGCCAUAGGUCAGACCCAACAAAAUUAGGUUUGGACUAUAAAUGAAAGUGUAAGCAUUUCACCUCAAGAGUAAUGUGGCAACGCAGGAACCUGAAAUCACUAGACCG